rnacentral:lncRNA from 1 species
GGGAUUCCUGGAGACGCUGCAGUGUGGCGGCGCUCCCGGCGCCGCGCAUCCCCCGUGCCGCCUCCGCCUCCCCGCCCGCUUCGCCUCGCCCUGCCCUGCCCGCCGGCGGCCGCUCCUGAAACUUAGCGUCCGCCGAGCGCGGGGGGUCGAGCAGCAGAGCCGCGCGCGGGGCGGUCCGCCGCGCACCCCGCUCCGCUCCGCGCUGCAGCCUCGCCCCGGGAGGGGCCCGGGCAGAGUGCUGAAGGACGCGCCGGCGGCGCCCGCCCCGGUUGCCAGGGAGAAAAGAAAAAGGACCUUUUCUGAGCUGUGAAGAAACUACAGACUGACUGAUAGAGCCUUUCAAGAUUUCCCUGUGAAAAGAAAAUUUUGUUGAUGCCAGUCAUAUAAGUUUUCAUUAAGAAGAGUCUUCUCCUGCAAAUGUUACUGAAAUGAAAAGGGAGCCUUGAAAGAUACUAGCAGUAUGACAGAUGCUAUUUGUGGCUCUGGAAAUAUAGUUGUCGCUGCAGGGGAUCUCCUGCACUGAAGACCCACAGGAGUCCAUAACCAAG